rnacentral:lncRNA from 10 species
CCGAGAGCCCGGACUGGAGGAGUUGAGAAGAGGAGGAAGAAUAAUGGGAGGAGACAGGACCUUUUUCAACUUGACAAAUAGGUAUAGCUACUUCUCAUACGUAUCUUAUUUCUGUUGAAUUGUAUUUAGUAACUCAAAAGGCAUAUACCAAGCUGUCAGAAGCAGCUUCAUUUAAAAGAAAUAAAAUUUCUAGUCCUGCCUGAAGUUUAAGCUAGCCCAUGACUACACAAGUGCAACUGUAUUUCCCAGAAUUAAAGCAGCAGCCUUGGAUCCAGAGAUGGACGCCAAUUGAUGAAGACAGCAGAACUGACUGGCUAGUCUGGGUUCCCUGGAGCAGAGCUGUCUCUCCACCCUAGGUUAUCCACUUACUUUUGUACUGUUAUGUGAGAGAGAAAUAAACUUCUAUCUUCUUUAA